rnacentral:rRNA from 1 species
GACGAACGCUGGCGGCGUGCUUAACACAUGCAAGUCGAACGGAAAGGCCCUGCUUUUGUGGGGUGCUCGAGUGGCGAACGGGUGAGUAACACGUGAGUAACCUGCCCUUGACUUUGGGAUAACUUCAGGAAACUGGGGCUAAUACCGGAUAGGAGCUCCUGCUGCAUGGUGGGGGUUGGAAAGUUUCGGCGGUUGGGGAUGGACUCGCGUCUUAUCAGCUUGUUGGUGGGGUAGUGGCUUACCAAGGCUUUGACGGGUAGCCGGCCUGAGAGGGUGACCGGCAACAUUGGGACUGAGAUACGGCCCAGACUCCUACGGGAGACAGCAGUGGGGAAUAUUGUACAAUGGGCGGAAGCCUGAUGCAGCAACGCCGCGUGCGGGAUAACGACCUUCGGGUUGUAAAACGCUUUCGCAUGUGACGAAGCGUGAGUGACGGUAAUGGGUAAAGAAGCACCGGCUAACUACGUG